CAGGGCGGCCUGCCGAAUCCGUGCAGCCAGGAGGCACGGAGCCGGGGACCCAGCGAUCCCAAGUCCCCAAGGGAUCAGGGGUGAAUCGGCGCGCCCAUGCGUGCCGUAGGGCGACUUCCACGCCCGAAUCCGUCAGCUAACCCGGUAGGCGUUCGUGGAAGACACA
rnacentral:sRNA from 2 species